rnacentral:lncRNA from 1 species
AUAAAGUAAUAUUUAGAAAUUCUAAAAUUGGACCUAUUUGAAAACUUUCAUAACGUUUUGGGCCAUAAUAUAGUUUUAUAAAGUUUUAGGGUCAAACUAUAAUUUUGAAAAAUAAUUCACAGUAGCAGUUACUGUAGCAAGCGGCUAUCCAAAUCCUGACAAACGGUAGACCAGAUUCAGGCAGAUAGUUUCUAGAACUUAAACGGCUAACCAGAUUUCACAAGCGGCAUACCAGAUAUUCAGAAAUUCAAAUUUUGGCUUUAACGGUAACAUUAAGCGACUGACUGGAAGUCCAUAAACGGUAAGCCAGUUAUGACCAAAAUGUGUAUAACAGCUAGUUUUUGAUCUAAAACUAUAAAAACUCAAAUCCAAUUCAUUUUCAAGCUCUCCAACAAGCAAAAACAAAAAGCAUACAACAUAUUUUGAGCUCUCAAUUCGCAAGUCAUUAUUCAUCGAAUCAUUACUGUUCUUCAAUUUGUACAUCUACUCUUUAAGAGAGUUUUUGUUGUAACUUUCGUUUCUUCAUCUUAAUUGUGAAUGUUUAAGUGUGUGAGACACUUGAAUGAAGAGAUUGGGAGAUAAUCUCUUUGUUGUAAUGGUUCAUUGACACCUUGAAGUCAGUUGUAAAUAUUUGAAGCCUUGAAAGGCUUGUAUAGUGAAAUCCUCAAGUUUGGAUCGCUUGAAGGCGUGGACGUAGGCGGGAAUUUUGAACUAAUUGCCUUCAAAUUUAUUAAGGCAUUAGAUUGGAUUGUUGUGUGGCUUUGUUGGGAUAAUUUUUAAAAUACCAAUUCACCCCCUCUCUUGGGUUGCACACUUGUAUUUCAUUUGGUAUCAGAGCGAGGUGCUCUUAUUUAGACUUAACCGUCUAGAGAUAAAGAUCAAUGGCAACUCAAAAUGAUUCCACAUUUAGGGAAGGACACUAGACCACCUUAUUUUGAUGGAAACGAUUACCCGUAUUAGAAAACUAAGAUGAGAAUUUACUUACAAACUUUAGAUUAUGAAAUUUGAGAAAUCGUUAAUGAUAGUCCCUUCAUGCCUUUGACUAAAAAUGAAGUCGGAGAAGAUAUUCCAAAACCUUCAUGGGAAUGGAAUGAAUUGGAAAAAAGAAAAGCUUCUCUAAAUUCCAAAGCUAUGAAUGCCUUGUUUUGUGCACUAGAUAAGAAAGAGUUUCAUAGAGUGUCUAGUUGCGAAAGUGCUAAUGAAAUUUGGCACAAACUUGAAGUUGUUUAUAAAGGCACGAAUCAAGUGAAAAAAUCUAAAAUAAGUAGGUACACUCGACAAUAUGAAUUGUUCCAAAUGGAACAAAAUGAGAGUGUGUAUUUUAUGUAUACAAGAUUUACGGACAUAGUGAACACUCUAGGAGCCCUAGGAAAGACCUUUUCAAAUAGCGAGAAAGUUAAGAAAAUCAUUAGGUCGCUACUUAAGGAAUGAAGACAAAAGAGGUCUGACAUUGAGGAAGCUAAAGAUUUAAAUACAUUACCUAUUGUUGAUUUAAUUGGUUCUCUCAUUUCAUAUGAAGAAGAUUUGGCAGCAGAAAAAGGGCAUGAGGAAAAAACAAAAAGCAUUGCUCUCAAAGCCUCAAAACGUGAGAGUGAUGAGGAAAGCGAGAAGGAUGAUGAGGAGUUGGCUAUGUUGGCUAGAAGAUUCAGAAAAUUUUACAAGAAAAAUAACGAGCAGAGAAAGUUUAGAAGUCACAAAAACAAAAAGGAGAAGAAAUAGCCAAUUACUUGCUAUGAAUGCAAGAAGCCCGGACACAUAUGACCGGAAUGUCCUCUCCUCAACAAAUUCAAAAAGAAAGCUAUGGUGGCCAUGUGGGAUGAUAGUGAUGAAGAAACAAGCGAUGAUAAAGAGCAACAAGAGAUGACUAAUUUAGCUCUCAUGGCCUUUGGGGAAGAGUCAUGUGAUGAACUUGAUGGGGUAAGUGUUCUUCCUACAUAUGAUGAAUUAUAUGAUGCCUUUAAGGAUUUGCAUGAUGAAUUGAUGAAGAUUGGUAAAAAGAAUAUAUGUCUUAAAAAAGAAAAUGAUGGAGCUGAAAAAUGAAAAUGAAUCAUUUAGUGCAAAGAUUACAUGCUUAGAAUUAGAAACUAAAACAUUGCAUGAUAAAGUUGCAUUAUUUGAGAAUUAUAGCACUUCACAUGAGCGCUUAGAGUCACACGUGAAUGACUUGAAAAAUGAAAAUAAAAUACUUAGAAAGAAGAGUAAUGAACUAAAUGAGAUUGUACUAAAAUUCACAAAUGGGCAAAAGAUGUUGGACAACUUGCUAAACUCACAAAAAUGUGUAUUUGACAAAGGAGGCAUUGGUUAUAAGCCAAAUUUGAAACAAAAGUAUUACAAGAGUUACUUUGUGAAGAAUACAUCUAUUAACAAUCAAAUUGUAUGUCAUUAUUGUAAUCAAGAUGGUCAUAUAAAAAAUAGAUGUCCAGUGAAGAGAAAUGCAUAUUAUAGUGUGAAAUGUGUUUGGGAUCCGAAAGGAACCAUUGCUAACUCUCAAGGACCCAAAAAGGUUUGGGUACCUAAAACUUGAGAUUUUCUCUACAAGGCUUGAAGAAGAAAAAGAAUAAGUGGUACUUGGACAAUGGUUGUUCAAGACACAUGACAAGGAAUUAUUCUUGGUUUUCAAGUUUUACUAAGAUCGAAAAUGGUGAAGAUGUAUCGUUUUGAGAUAAUUCAAAAGGAAAAAUCUUUGGCAUUGGCAAUGUCGGUAAUGUAUCCUCUACUCUCAUUGAAAAUGUGUGUUUGGUUGAAAACUUAAAACACAACUUGCUUAGCAUUAGUCAAUUAUGCGAUAAAGGAUAUAGAGUUAUCUUUGAUGAAUCAAAAUGUGUUAUUAAGAAUGCAUGUGACGGUAAGGUUUUAUUUGUAGGAAAUAAAUGUGUUAAUGUCUAUACCAUUAAUAUAGAUUGUGCAUCUACAAAUGAUAAAUUUUUCUCUGCAUUGCAUAAUGAUGGGAUAGAAGAUUAGGUCAUGCAAGCAUGGAUUUGAUUUCAAAAAUCGUGAAAAAUGAUUUGGUUAAAGGUCUUCUAAAAAUUGGUUUUCAAAAAGAUAAAAUUUAUGAAGCUUGCCAAUUUGGAAAACAAAUCAAAACUUCUUUCAAAAGCAAGAAAAAUAUUUCUAUUUCAAAAUCACUUCAAUUACCUCACAUAUAUUUGUUUGGACCUUCUAGAUAUGCUAGUUUAAAUGGAAAAUAUUAUGCUUUUGUAAUUGUGGAUGAUUAUUCUAGAUACACAUGGGUAUUAUUCUUAGCUAAUAAGGAUGAUGCCUUUGAUGCAUUUAAAGUUUUCUGCAAAAAGGUUCAAAAUGAAAAAGGAUGUAGUAUUUCUUGUAUUAGAAGUGAUCAUGGUGGAGAAUUUGAAAAUUAUGCAUUUGAGAACUUUUGUAAUAAUUUUGGCAUUCAGCAUCAAUUUUCAUCACCUAGGACUCCUCAACAAAAUGGAGUUGUAGAGAGAAAAAAUAUGUCUAUUCAAGAAAUGGUUAGGACCAUGUUGAAUGAAAAUUCUUUACCUAAGUAUUUUUGGGCCAAAGCCGUCAGCACCGCUUGUUAUGUUUUGAAUCAUGUGUUGAUUAGACAUAAUCUUAAUAAAACUCCCUAUGAGCUUUGGAAAAAUAGAAAACCCAACAUUGGUUAUUUUAAAGUUUUUGGAUGCAAAUAUUUUGUUUUGAACACAAAAGAUAAUCUUGGUAAAUUUGAUCCAAAAUCUGAUGUUGGUAUCUUUCUUGGUUAUUCAAACUCAAGCAAAGCUUAUAGAGUGUAUAAUAAAAGAACUUUGGUUGUGGAAGAAUCUAUGCAUGUUACAUUUGAUGAGUCUGACCCCUCAUCUACGGAGAAAGUUGUUGUUGAUAAUAAUGCAGAAGAAGAACAACAAGAAGAAGCAUCAAAUGACAAUAAAAAAGAUGCACCACAUGGAAUUCAAGAGGAACAUCAUGAAGAAACAAAUGCAUAGCAAAAUGAAGGUACUUCUCAAACACUCCCCAAGGAGUUGAGGUAUGUUUCUUCUCAUCCUAAGGAUGUAAUUUUAGAAUAUCCCUCACGAGGUGUUUGUUGUGCAAAUUUUAAUGUACUCGCAAGCGCACGAAUCUAUUGUAGUAUAGAUCAAUGGUGACGAGUGUCGAUCCCACGAGGAGGUGGAUUUUAAUUGUGUAGAAUUAAUUUUGUGAAUGGGUGAUUGGAUUUGUGAUGGAAAUGAUUUGGAAUAUGCUAAAACUUAAAUUAAAAUGGCGAGAAUAAAUUCUAAAAUUGGUAUUGAAAUGGUGAGAAUAAAUUGAAGAGAAUUCUAUUGAAAUGACGUACUUGGGUAUCUGGAUCCGUAUCAACAUGCAUCAUGGGUUAAAUAAUCCUUAUUAAUGCCAAUUAAAUCAUGAGGGGGGAAUCCACACCUCAUGAACCACACUCUAAUCAAUAUGGUGCUAAGGGCUUAUCGUGCCAAAUAAUAAUAACCUUGUACUAGAGGGUCGGUGAAACUAAGACGGUACUAGACAAGAUUAGUAUUAUUUGUCGACGAGAAUUCAAAACAUCCACAAAAAUUAGAGGGGAAGAGAAAAUAAAUUUACCAAAUAAAGCCCAUGACACAUGUUGAGACUUCACCUUCAACCCAAGCUUGAAAGAAAAUUAGCCACUCAUAAUUGAACUAGGGGCAAAAUGAGAACUUAUUAAAAUACGAAGAAAAUACAAGAUGGAGAAGGAAUUACAGAAAAUAGAUCCCAAAAAUGGAUUCAGAGAUAUCCAAUUAGGGAAGGGGGGAGGCCCCCUUUUUAUAGAUACAUUGAGUAAAUUGUGGCCAUCGGAUUAAAAACAGUUUGGACGCUCAGGAUUUCGUCAUGUCAUCAGUCAACAGUACGCGUGAACAGUACGUGGUUUGACCACGCGGAUGAACAGUAACAUGGUUUGACCCGGGUGAACAGUGACGCGGUUUGGUUGAAAAUAAUCAUGUGUGAUGCAUGUACCGUAUGCGAGAUUUUUGGUCCACUGAUAUGCUGCCAUGUCACCAUCAACAGUACAUAAGAAUUUUAGUCCAAUAGGAUCGUGACACCUCAUCAGUCAAUGCCACAUCAUUGGUCAAUGCCACAUCAUCGAUCCGUCUAUGUGAACAGUGCCGUGAACAGUAACGUAUACAGUACCGUACAUGUGAACAGUGUUAUUUUUCCUUUUAUGCUCCUUCUAAGGUUUUCGACCGUCCUGAGUUCAAAAGUGAUGUCCGUUUUGCCAUCUGAUCUCUCGUUUAUUGUGAAAUGACUACGAUGCCCCUUAAAUACAUAAAAUACUUAAUUAAAAUAAAACACACAGAAUUAAAUCAAAAGAAGGUUAAAUUCAUAAAAGUAAAAGUUGUUAGUAAGACUUGAAAUAUAAAAUGACGGUUUUCUCCUUUAUAAAUAUGCAUUUUCUUAACACUCAACAGUGUUACAACUAGAUCAUCUCUUAGGAACACAUGUGAGCAUGCUGCAUUUAUUUCUCAAAUUGAAUCAAAAUCCUUUGCGGAUGAGGAAAAUGAUAAAGCUUGGAUUAUGGCUAUGCAAGAGGAGUUGAAUCAAUUUGAAAGAAACAAUGUGUGAGAUUUAGUUCCUAAUCCAGAAUAUCAAUCCAUUAUAGGCACUAAAUGGGUAUUUAGAAACAACAUGGAUGAAUCCGGUUGUAAGAAAUAAAGUUAGAUUAGUGGCUCAAGGCUACAACCAAGAAGAGAAUUGCUUUUGAUGAAACAUUUGCACCUGUAACUAGACUAGAAUCCAUUAGAAUGCUCUUAGCUUUUGCAUGUCAUAAAGAUUUUAUUUUAUAUCAAAUGGAUGUCAAGAGUGCUUUCUUAAAUCGUUAUAUUAUGGAGGAAGUGUAUGUGAAACGACCCCCUGGUUUUGAAAAUGAAAAAUUUCCAGAUCAUGCGUAUAAGUUAUCUAAGGCUUUGUAUGAACUAAAACAAGCACCUAGAGCAUGGUAUGAUAGACUUAAAAACUUCUUGUUAGAUAAUGAUUUUUCGAUGGAAAAAGCGGACACAACUCUAUUUGUUAAGCAUAAGAACCAAUAUAUACUUAUUGUUCAAAUUUAUGUUGAUGACAUUAUUUUUUGUUCUACUAAUGAAUUGUUGUGUAAAGAAUUUUCAUCUUGUAUGAGUAAAGAAUUUGAGAUGAGUAUGAUGAGAGAGUUGAAGUACUUCCUUGGACUCCAAAUCAAACAAAACGAGGAAGAAAUUUUCAUAAAUCAAGCCAAGUACGUGAAAAAUCUACUCAAAAGAUUCGACUAUGAUAAUGGAAUGGCAAAAAGCACUCCAAUGAGUACUACCAUUAAACUGGAUAAAGAUGAGAAAGGUAAGGAAGUCGACAUCAAGACUUGUCGAGGUAUGAUCGGAUUCUUACUUUACUUGACUGCUAGUAGACCUGAUAUUAUGUUUAGUGUAUGCUUGUGUGCUAGAUUUUAAUCUUAUCCUAAAGAGAUGUGGUAAUUAAAUUUGUUUCUACUGAAAAUCAACUUGCGGAUAUCUUUACAAAACCUUUUAGUGAAGAGCAUUUUAUAAAGAUAAAACAUGAGCUUAGAAUGAUUAAUGUUGUAUUUUGAAUCUUGAUUUGUUGAUUAAGUUGAUAUGUUCGUUAUUGUAUGAAUUUAUGCUUCAUGAAUUAAAUAGCUUGAUAUGUUUGUUAUUUUAUGAAUUUAUGUUUCAUGCAUUAAAUGGCUUAUUGAAAUUUUUUGAAUCUCAAAAUGAAUUAAAAAUUGAACAAUUUUUAAGCCAAAAAUAAAUUGGUGUGUGUAAUACAAGUCUAAGAGUUUACUAAACUUCAAAAAUAUUCUCCAUUGUUUAAUCGAUAAACCUCUUCUAAUCAACCGGAUAACCGUUCUUCUUAUUGAUUAUUCUCUGAGUCAUAUUUCGGAUAACCGGAUUGGAAAACCAGUAAACCGUUUGAAGAGAAUUUGGUUUCUAGAAAGAACCGAUCAGCCGGUUAUGAAAUCUGGAAAACCGGAUUUAGUUUGAUGCUUGCUGGACACAACUGGAUAGCCGGUUAUGAGCUUCGGCAAACCGGAUUUGCGUUGAUUGCUUGUUGCCUCCAACCGAUUAACCGGUUAGGCAUAUCCGGAUAACCGAAUUCGUGACCAUUCAUUACUGGACUUAACCGGAUUACCGGUUAUGUAAACUGGAAACCAAAAAUCACGUUGCACACUCACUGUACCACAAUCGGCUAACCGGUUAGUGACAUCCGGUUAACCGGAUUCGAACUUAUAUGAACUCUUCAUCUUCAUCUUCCUCUUUCGAUAAACCGGUUCUUCCUCUCUCUAAAAACCGUUUCCAUUUUCUUUAUUUCUCACUCCAAAACUCAUCGUUUUCUUUCGUUUCCAAUCCAAAUCAAUUCAUAAAUUUUAUUUCCCAUAUACUAUUGAGUCAAAAAUCAUCUUCAAAAACCAUUUUCACCAUCAAACUCCUUAGAUCCAAAUCUCACCUAGGUUUUCAAACAAAACUUUCUCUCUCUAAAUUCUUUCCUCUUAAGCUAGUUUUAAUCCGAAUUGAACCUCAAUAUUCAUUUCAAUCCUCACAAUUUUCCUUCUUAUUGCCUUAUUUCACUUCAAAUCAAACAAACUCACAAUGUCAAGCUCACGGCCGGUUCGUGGAAAAGGCAAAGAACUUGUUCAACCCACCAAACGCUCACGACAAGCAGGGGGCACCUCCAAUCAGUCUUCAUUUGAGUCCACACAUUUCCCAGCCAAUCAUUUAGCUAAACGAUUUCACCAACAAUUCAUGACUCGAGAGGUACUCCAAACUUUUUUCAUUUUACCGGAUUGGUUGAAUAGUCUUAGCAUUAGUAAUAGAACUUUACUACAAUUGUUGGAAGAUGUUGGCUAGAUUAAUGCACUUAUUUUUUAGGAAAAUGUAUAUCUCGACUUGGUGAAAGUGUUUUACUUGAAUAUGGAUUGUUUCAAUUGAGUUUGAUGAUUCAGAGUUGAACUCUAUCGUAGGAACUUCCGAUGAUGGCCUAGAAAUUGUUUUGCCUAGGAAAUCUCAUGAUAUUGAUGACUAUGUUCAUAUUGAUGCUAUUAAGAAUAUAUGUCGUCGUAUUGACCUUUCGGAUGAUGAAUGUACUAUCCAUUUUCGCACCUAAUGUCUUUAUCUUUAAACUCGGAUAUUACUUCAUUUUAUUCAGAGUAUUGUGCUUCCUAGAUCAAGCCAUUUGGAUGAGGUUUCUCAUAUGGAUGUUUCCUUGAUUGAUUGUAUUCUUAGACAUCGUCCAGUCGACUUAGGAUACACCAUUGUUUGAAACAUGCUUUGUAUACCUAAGUUGAUUACUCGUUCCCUUCCAUAUGGUCACUUCAUUACCCGAAUCCUUAAAUAUUUUGAUGUACCGAUUCAAGAACCGUCGUAUAGGCCAUCUAAGAGCAUUUAGGAUGAGGCUGUUAGUUCUUUAGGUUUUGAGUGGAGUAAUGGCACUUGGGUAAAAGUCACUGAUAAUAAGUUCACCUUUCUUACUCCAAGUGAUGAUCGGCCACUUAAUGCUGUGGUUCCAGCCAGUCGGCUACCUGUUUUUUUGCUUUCAUUUCGGGGUCAGCGUAGACGUCGAGCUCCUUCAGUAUCUACCUCAGCUCUUGCACCCUCUACACCUGCUUUACCACAUCCCGAGCCUCCUAUUUCUGAAAAGGUUACUCUUCAGCAGCUUAUGGAUAAGGUGAGGACACUCUGGCGCAGCAACUUAUUCAUGGACAAUCUCCGUAUCCACCUCCAUCACCACCAUCCUCACCACCUCAGUAGCCUCUUAUGCUUGUAUUUGGACACACCUACAUUUCAUUUACUGCAUUAUGUUCUUUUAUUUUUGCUUAUAUGGAUGGUUGUUAUGAUUUUAGAUUAUGUAUUUGUUUUGGAUUAUAUGGAUUUGUUUUGAUUGUUUGGAUGAUAUGUUAUUUCCUUAUGCUUUGGAUAUUUUUGGACUAAUGUGGUGUAUUAAGAUUUUGAUGAUUGAUAGGGGAAGUUUUUAUUUUUUUUGAUGAUGAAGGGAGAGAUAUAAUAAGUAAGGAGGAAAUAUUCAUUUGAUAUGAAAAAUAUUAUUUCCUUAUGCUUUGGAUAUUUUUGGACUAAUGUGUUGUAUUGAGAUUUCAAUGAUUGAUAGGGGAAGCUUUUAUUCUUUUUAAUGAUGAAGGGAGAGAUAUAAUAUGUAAGGGGAAAAUAUUCACAUUAUUAAGUGCUCCUUUGCCACAUCGUUUUCAACAAAAUGUCGAUUGCAACACUUCGUACAAGGACAAUAAAUCCUUGUGUCAUCGAUUUUGUUCAUGAAAGCAAAAGCUAAGAAAUGAUUAACCCAUUUAUAUAACGAACAAAGGAUCUAUCUAAUAUGUCAAUCCAACUUUUGUCCAUGUCUAAUAUAUUUAAGUCUACUGAACUUAAAAAGUAUGUUACCUUCGACAAGCUGACCAAAUGAAAAAAUGUCUCUUUCAACUUUUUAUCUGCCUCAAGUCUCGAAAAUAUAGAUUUUUUAAAAGCCUCCCUCUUGUCUGACAUGAGUCAAUUACAGCUCAUUUAGAAAUUCAGUUGUCUAUUAAUAUUUGCCAAAGAAGCAAUAAAGAAAACAUGAUUCUAUUAAUGUGUGUGUUAUUAGUUAUCUCCUUAAUUAUUUGAUCUUUCAUGUAUAAAUGUUCAGUCUUUAAGCAUGACUAAUAUUUAUUGCAUCUUCAAUUACCAAAAUAGCGAAUAGUUUACAUUAUCUUUUAAAUGCCAUUAAAUCUAACCCUUGUUAUAUGAUCCUUAUAUUGUGUAUUCUCAAUUGUUGAGGAAAUUGCUCUAGUUUGAAUUAUCUUUCAACUUCUGGAAAUAUAACUUUACUACUAUGAGAUUUUAAAUUGAUCUAUACUAACUAAAGGUGGGCAGAGGUAAAAGGUGGGCAGAGGUAAGGCAUGAAUCACAGAAAGGGACCAAAUAGGCUUAUUGGUUUAAUUAGAAACUUUUAAUCAAAAAGGAAAACCCCUGCAGCAUCACAUUCUAAUUAGAUCUAUUACUAUUUGAUAUUAUAUAUCAUGCUUAGAUCUGACAAAUGCCAACUUUUUAUCUCCUUUUCAAGUUCAUAUAUCAUAUUUUAUUUCACUAGAAAAUGACUUUCAAUUUUCUAUCUCCAUCACUUGUUAUAGGUAAUUAAAUCUUCACCAAGUGGUAACUUCGGAUAAAUAAAUAUAAGGGCUAGAAUUCCCUCCUGAAAAUGCUGAAAUUUUUUUGUUCUUAUCAGUUGACGGCUUGUUAAUUAAAUGAAGUCAUAAUAAUAAUAAUAAUAAUAAUAAUAAUAAUAAAAUGCGUAUCUAUCAUACAUAACUUUCUCUCAGUAAAUUAUAUAAUUAAAAACAGCAAAACCUAGGAUAGACAUAAUUCCUAACCUUAUGUAGUAUAAGAAAAAUUAAUGUGGAUAGCCAAACCUAGGACAGCCAUUAUCACUUUCUUAACAAGCACACACUAAAGAAUAAAACAUAUGCAGCAAUAGCCACUCCAUUUAGCAGUAAUUUGCAAUAAAUAGGGAACUAUGUUCUCUCAAAUUAUCACCACCGAGAAUUUCAUUUCAAUUAGUCAUGCACAUUACUUAAUGGCACAAAGCAAACCCCCAGCAGCAUUACAGUAAUUGUUUAAUUAGAAACCGAGCAACAUUAGAGUAAUUUGCAGUAAUCAAACUAACUUUUAGUUUGAUUUACUGUUACACAUUACAAAACAACGAGGAUGCAAGUAAUUACUUCAAUAAUUCAAAGGAUUAUCACCAUCUAAUCACCUUAAUUAUAAAUAAUUGAGACAAAAUCAAAGAGUGUAUCAUUCAAUUAUAACGUAAAUUGCUAGGGGUGGGCACGGUUCGGUUCGGUUCUGUUCGGUUCGGUUCGGUUUGAAAUUAAGUAGAACCGAUUUAAAUCGGUUAUUUUAUAAAAAGAACCGAAUAAGAACCGAACUCAAUAAGAACCGAACUCAAACGGUUCUUUUCGGAUCGGUUCGGUUCGGUUCGGUUUUUUUGGUUCUGGGCCUAUUGGGCCUAUUUUUAAUUUUUAAUUUUUUAGCCCAUUGGGCCUCAUGAAUGUAAUAAUUUUUUUCAACAAUUAAUUUAUC